GUGCUCACCUCGGCAGCACACAUGCUAAAGUUGCAAUGAUACAGAGAAGAUUCGCAUGGCCCUGCCCAAGGAUGGCACACAGAUUCGUGAAGCAUUCCAAAUUUUU